rnacentral:hammerhead_ribozyme from 1 species
ACCCAGCUGACGAGCCCCAAAUAGGACGAAACGUGCGUCCUGGAU